AGUGAACGCUGGCGGUAGGCCUAACACAUGCAAGUCGAACGGCAGCACAGUAAGAGCUUGCUCUUACGGGUGGCGAGUGGCGGACGGGUGAGGAAUACAUCGGAAUCUACUUUUUCGUGGGGGAUAACGUAGGGAAACUUACGCUAAUACCGCAUACGACAUACGGGUGAAAGCAGGGGAUCUUCGGAUCUUGCGCGAUUGAAUGAGCCGAUGUCGGAUUAGCUAGUUGGCGGGGUAAAGGCCCACCAAGGCGACGAUCCGUAGCUGGUCUGAGAGGAUGAUCAGCCACACUGGAACUGAGACACGGUCCAGACUCCUACGGGAGGCAGCAGUGGGGAAUAUUGGACAAUGGGCGCAAGCCUGAUCCAGCCAUGCCGCGUGGGUGAAGAAGGCCUUCGGGUUGUAAAGCCCUUUUGUUGGGAAAGAAAAGCAGCAGGUUAAUACCCCGCUGUUCUGACGGUACCCAAAGAAUAAGCACCGGCUAACUUCGUG
rnacentral:rRNA from 1 species